rnacentral:sRNA from 12 species
GGCAGGUUUGCGCGGGAACACUGGAAGGUCACCCCUAAGGUGGCAGCGCCCAACGGGCGUCUCCCUUCCACCCGGGACCUGCUAUUUU